CAACCUGGCCCCGAGACCGCUGCAGGGCUGCGGGAUUGGGGCGAAGCUGUGUGUGGCGGGGCGGCAGCCAUUCCCCCCCUCUGCGUAUCUGCGGCCCCGCCGGCCCGCUCCGAACGGAACUGUUCCAACGCCGCCGGUGCCCAGCCCUGUGGAGGACAGGGGCUGGGGGCAGGCAGGCGGUGCCAGUACGGCCCGCAAAGGAUCCUUCCUCCUUCCUUCCUCCCAAAAGGGAAUUUUAAAUAAUCGGUGAUAUUAUCUUAGGCAACACAAAUGGUUAAAGAGAAGUAGGAGCGAGGCACGGCUUCGGUGUCUGCUUAGCUGCAAACGUGAUCUGUAUUCGUCAUGCUUGGAAGCCCCAGCCCAUCUCUGCACCGCCACCAGGACCCAUUACUCGGCUCGGGAGACAGACGUGGUAGCUCCCCAGGGCCUGGGGGAGGAUGGAGGCUUACCUACGGGUGCCUGUGGUUCAA